GGUUGGCCACGUUCAAGAGAGUGGGGUUACGAAUCGACUCAAAUUUCGGACAUUAUAAAACGCGUCGUCUCCUUUCAUUCUGAGCUGAACAAAGGAACGAUAGAUACCCUCCCUACCAUACGAUAUAGAGAGAAAGAGAGAGAGAGAGAGAAAGACAGAGAGACAGAGAGAGAGACAGAGAGAGAGAGAGAGACCCUACCAUCUUUCGUCAAAACGUAGGAAUUGACGACCGCGUGAGAGAGGACUUCAGCUUAAAAAGGGGAAGUAUACAUGAGUAUUCUUCGAAUUUUUUUGUGGUUACCCAAUGAAAAGAAAUCUACGAAACAAUUUGCCGGGGCUCUUGUAAAAGUUCUGCUAGAGUCGUCGACAACUACUACUACUACUACUGCUGCUGCUGCUGCUACUACUACUAUUACUACUACUACUACACUACUACACACAACACAACGACGACGACCGACGACGUGGACUAUGGAACAACACCGACCGACAGAGCCCUCCAAUUUUGUAGGUUCGCGCGUUCUCGUCGACAGAAAAUGUGCAUCGAGCACCCCACCAAAGUGUUUCCUGAACAACGAUGUCUCCAAGAAGAAGACGUAGUAGUAAAGUAAAGUAGACGGUAGUGGCGGCAGUGGCAGUGUGGCAGUGGCGGCACGACAACAGCACGUAUUCUUCGAUUCUCUGAUAAUUCUUGCCAGAAAAUAUAUAAACUGCUAGAGAAAUCCUGACUUGAAGAAGAUGACGAUGAUGAUGAUGAUGAUGAUGAUGAUGAUGAUGAUGAUGAUGAUGAUGAAGUUGAAGUUGAUAAUGAUGAUUACUAUGACGAUGAGAUGAAGAUUAUGAUGAAGAAGAAGUGAGGAUGCAAACGACGCUUCGCGUAGGACGUUCUCGAGCAAACUGCUGCUCGUGGCCAGGUGUUCCGCCUCUUUAUUCCUUUUGGCUGCCAUAACAACACGGUUGCUUUCAAGGACUAUUCAUCCGGUCGUUUCUUUCCUUCACCUGGGACAGCUGGAACUUAGGACGACCACGUGCUUCUCUCUCGGCUUCAACGAGCAAUCCCAGCAUAGCAGGUAGCCUUUUGUAACGUCAAGACAAAUGCACCGUAUGGGUUUUACAGAUCGUAGAGAAGCCCCAGAUGGCAAGCGCCGCGUCCGAUCUUCUGUUUAAAAUUUGAACCCGCUGGUACGCGCUCGUUUUCCUUAACACCACCUGCUCGCACUCGACCGUCCUCGCAAUUUAUUAAUGAUUCAUGAAAAUAUUAAAGUAAACGUUAUUAUAUAUGUACGACAAUGAUCGAUGAACAUAACAACGUUAGAAACAAAAAGAAUUCGAAAGUAAAUGUUUUAGGGACAAGUUUGAAAAGAUCUUUGUUCGUCAAGGUAAUGGGUCUGCUAUGGAAGCGUAUAAAUGCUCAGUGUGCGAGCACUGUGUUCUGUACGGAUAGCCGGAAGUUGAAUGUACGUAAUGUUUCUGGGCGCGCCUGCUAAAGCUAUUUUUCGCUUCACUGGCAAAUAAAAACAAUAUAAUGAUUGAGCAUAACUUGAUGCGCAUACUUAAAAGAUCUCAUACUUUUUCUAUGACUUCUAACUUAAAUUAUUAUUUCUCAAAUAUUUCAUAUUAUAUUGUUAAUAGAUAUAUAACGCUUAUACAUAUAUAUAUAUAUAUAUAUAUGUAUGUAUAAAUGUAUAUAACAAUAGGAUCAUUAAAUUGGAAGCUUGAAUCAUGUUUGUUGUAUCUCGACAAACAUGUAUUUGACAUUUUGAAUUUUGUUACAUCCUAGGUAUAAUCUGUAUUAUCGACCAUAGAUAUGCUUGUUUUUAAAUAGAAUUUUACAUCUUCAAUUUAUCGACAAUAUAUAAAAUUACUAUACCGAUGAGAUAUUUAAUUUUUAUUAUAUCGAAGGUAUUUUCGAUUUCUAUUUUAUCGAAAGGUAUUUUUGAUAUUUAUUUUAUCGACGGAACUAUUUUAUCGAUAGAUGGCACUCUGCGGACACUCGAGAUCUUCCCUGUCGAUAAUUCCAUUAUUUUAAACAAGAAUCAUUGUUCCAACUAUGAUAUGGUAAUGCAUUUCAAUAAUUAAGAAUAUAUGACAAUAAUAAAGAAUAUAGAAUUUUUCAUUGAUCUAAGAAAUUAAUUUACAAUUUUAUGUAAUCAAUUUAUUUACAGAAAUAUGAUUAAUCUAAGUACUUUAACGUUUUGUUCGAAUUAGGAAAAAAUAUUGAAAAAUGCAUUAAAAUAUGCAGCCAUUUGCCCGGUAGUACUUAUGUUAUAUAAUUACCAUAUAAAGUACGAUAUAUCAGAAGUACUAUCGACCCCUGUCUCACCACGUGGAGGUUGCUGCAUGUGGAGACCCACGGGGC